rnacentral:rRNA from 1 species
GAUGAACGCUGGCGGCGUGCCUAAUACAUGCAAGUCGAGCGAACGGACGAGAAGCUUGCUUCUCUGAUGUUAGCGGCGGACGGGUGAGUAACACGUGGAUAACCUACCUAUAAGACUGGGAUAACUUCGGGAAACCGGAGCUAAUACCGGAUGAUAUUUUGAACCGCAUGGUUCAAAAGUGAAAGACGGUCUUGCUGUCACUUAUAGAUGGAUCCGCGCUGCAUUAGCUAGUUGGUAAGGUAACGGCUUACCAAGGCAACGAUGCAUAGCCGACCUGAGAGGGUGAUCGGCCACACUGGAACUGAGACACGGUCCAGACUCCUACGGGAGGCAGCAGGAGGGAAUCUUCCGCAAUGGGCGAAAGCCUGACGGAGCAACGCCGCGUGAGUGAUGAAGGUCUUCGGAUCGUAAAACUCUGUUAUUAGGGAAGAACAUAUGUGUAAGUAACUGUGCACAUAUUGACGGUACCUAAUCAGAAAGCCACGGCUAACUACGUG